rnacentral:rRNA from 1 species
CGAUUGUAGCCUUAUCAGUAAUAUAAUUAAUUUUAUAGUUAAGUGGUAUGGCGCGGUAUUGCAUGGCUGUCGUCAGUUCGUGCUGUAGAGUUUAGGAUUAAGUUUUUUUAAACGAAUGCAACCCUAUAAAAAAGUAUUUAGUUAAUUAAUUACAUUUUAAUUGUACUAUUCUUUUUUAAUCUAUGAUUGAUUACUGAUAAAUCUAUUUUUCACUAUCAAUUAUAGGGGUUUUAGGCUGAAGUCAAGUCCCUAUGGUCUCUAUACGUUGGGCUACACACGUGUUACAAGGAUAAAAACAAAGAGACGCUAAAAUUUAAUUUUAAGCAAAUCUCUAAAAAUUAUCUUAGUUCAGAUUGUCUCAUGAAAUUCUGAGGCAUGAAGAUGAAAUCGUUAGUAAUUGUAAAUUAUAAUGUUACAGUGAAUUAAUUGUCAAAUUUUGCACACACCGCCCAUCACGCUCGGAGAGUCGAUAUUGGUGUAAGAUUUUAAAAUCCUUUCAUAAAAAUUUAUUUUUGUUUAAAUGGUUAUUUUUUAACGGUGAAAGUUAUGAGUAGUAUCUAAUCUAAUACUGGUGAUUUGAGUGAAGUUGACACAAGGUA